GACGAACGCUGGCGGCGUGCUUAACACAUGCAAGUCGAACGGAAAGGCCCUGCUUUUGUGGGGUGCUCGAGUGGCGAACGGGUGAGUAACACGUGAGUAACCUGCCCUUGACUUUGGGAUAACUUCAGGAAACUGGGGCUAAUACCGGAUAGGAGCUCCUGCUGCAUGGUGGGGGUUGGAAAGUUUCGGCGGUGGGGGAUGGACUCGCGGCUUAUCAGCUUGUUGGUGGGGUAGUGGCUUACCAAGGCUUUGACGGGUAGCCGGCCUGAGAGGGUGACCGGCCACAUUGGGACUGCGAUACGGCCCAGACUCCUACGGUCGGCAGAAGGGGGGAAUAUUGCGCAAUGGGCGGAAGCCUGAUGCAGCAACGCCGCGUGCGUGAUGACGGCCUUCGGGUUGUAAACCGCUUUCGCCUGUGACGAAGCGUGAGUGACGGUAAUGGGUAAAGAAGCACCGGCUAACUACGUG
rnacentral:rRNA from 1 species